CUCUAAGCCGCUUAUCUGCUCUUCAGAUCUUGAGUUUGAGGUCUAAUAGUCUUAGUGGACCUUUCCCUUCUGAGUUUGCAAACCUUGGAAAUUUGACUUCUCUGUAUCUUCAGUCCAAUAACUUUAAUGGUUCGUUGCCUGCGGAUUUUUCUGCUUGGAAAAGCCUUUCUAUUUUGGAUUUGUCUUUAAUGGUUCUUUGCCUGCUGAUUUUUCUGCUUGGAAAAGCCUUUCGGUUCUGGAUUUGUCAUAUAAUGAUUUUAGUGGGAGUAUACCUUCUUCAGUUUCAAACUUGACUCAUUUGACUGCU
rnacentral:lncRNA from 1 species